rnacentral:rRNA from 1 species
CAGCACCUCAAGUGGUCAGGAUGAUUAUCGGGCCUAAAGCAUCCGUAGCCUGCUUUGUUAGUUUUCGGUUAAAUCCAUACGCUCAACGUAUGGGCUGCCGGGAAUACUGCAAAGCUAGGGAGUGGGAGAGGUAGACGGUACUCGGUAGGAAGGGGUAAAAUCCUUUGAUCUAUUGAUGACCACCUGUGGCGAAGGCGGUCUACCAGAACACGUCCGACGGUGAGGGAUGAAAGCUGGGGGAGCAAACCGGAUUAGAUACCCGAGUAGUCC